rnacentral:rRNA from 1 species
GAUGAACGCUGGCGGCGCGCCUAAUACAUGCAAGUCGAGCGAACAGAUGAGGAGCUUGCUCCUCUGACGUUAGCGGCGGACGGGUGAGUAACACGUGGAUAACCUACCUAUAAGACUGGGAUAACUUCGGGAAACCGGAGCUAAUACCGGAUAAUAUAUUGAACCGCAUGGUUCAAUAGUGAAAGACGGUUUUGCUGUCACUUAUAGAUGGAUCCGCGCCGCAUUAGCUAGUUGGUAAGGUAACGGCUUACCAAGGCAACGAUGCGUAGCCGACCUGAGAGGGGGAGGGGCCCAACGGGAGUGGAGACCGGGCCCGGGACCGAAGGGGGGGCCAGAGGAGGGAGUGUGCCAGAAGGGGGGAAAGCUGGAGGGAGGAAGCCCGGGGGAGUGAGAAAGGUCUUGGGCUCGAAAAACUCUGUUGUUGGGGAAAAAAAAUUGUGAAGGUAAGUAGGCCCGUUUGAAGGGAACCUAAGAAGAAGGCCAGGGCAAACAAGUG